rnacentral:lncRNA from 1 species
CAUCAAUUGCAAGGAAUUUUCAGCAGAAUGUUUGAUGAUCAAAUAAAUUCCACAAAGCAAGAAAUUAUAUUGUUAUGCCAAAAAUGAUAAAAUACAAUAUCCUAUAUUUGCUUUUCCAAUUCAAAGGCUGAAACAUAAGAUACUGCAAUGACAACCCAUGACCCUUUAGAGGCAAUAUCUUCCUUAUCACGCGAUUCACAAUCUGCUUCCUUCUCCUUAAUUUUCUGAACAAGUGCGCUAUCCAAUUCUUCCAUCAAACAAUAAGCUUCCUUUUUACUACAUUCAUUUAGUUUCUAACGCUCUUCGCUAUCUGAUACUUUUUAGGGUUCAUGGAUUUGGGGGCGAUUAUGCCACAUCAAAUUUCUAAUCGUCACAUGGCACAUCCUAUCAACUGAGUAUAAUGAAAAAUCAAAAGAGUGAUGAACAGGUAAUAAAUUAAAAGAUGGGUGAACAAAGAGUAUGUUUUAUUGUUCAGUAAGCAAGUAAUUAUAUAAAAUAAAGUUAGAUGAGCCUUCAUUAAAUUUAUUUUUCCUUUUGUUGGGUAGAACUCUCUCUUGGCUCGAAGGAAAAGAGAAAAGUAAAAACAAAAUAGAUUCUUUGCUUGGAAGGACAAGAAAGAAAAAAAUAGAACAAUAUUACAAAUACAUAAUUAUUUACAAAGUGAUGUACAUAUUGAUGAAAUGAAAUUAUAUUAAAAGUUAAUCGAUUAUUUCCUCUCUUUUUCUCUCUCUGUCUCUUUCCUAAUUAUUUUUUUCUCUUUCUAUCUAAUUAUAUGAAUAAUAAGUAGUAUUAUUCAAAUAAAUAUAAAUUAUGUUCCUUUCCAAGCAUACACGUAUUGCAUAUCCAUUUAAACACUAAAGUCCAGCAAUUGCCAAUCAAAUAAAAAAUUAAAAAUCCCCUAUUAAAUAACCAUUGCCCUGAAGUGCAUGUAAGCCAAAGUAUCGACAAAACCCCAUCCGUCUCUCUAUCUCAUUCUCGGUCGAACUGCGCAAUAAAAUUGUGAGAGAAAAACUUCGCCAUCAAUGGCGUGAAGCAUUAUCAACUAUAACCUUGCGUACCGGAAACAUUUAUUUUCGAAUGGGCAAAAUCUCCACUCUACAAUUAUCCAACAAAAGAAUACCACACUGAUCAUAAAUAGAUAUAUAGAGAGAGAGAGAGAGAGAGAGAGAGAGAGAGAGAAGAGGUAAUUGUAGUAA